ACUCCUACGGGAGGCAGCAGUGGGGAAUUUUGGACAAUGGGCGCAAGCCUGAUCCAGCCAUGCCGCGUGCGGGAAGAAGGCCUUCGGGUUGUAAACCGCUUUUGUCAGGGAAGAAAAGGUUCUGGCUAAUACCUGGGACUCAUGACGGUACCUGAAGAAUAAGCACCGGCUAACUACGUGCCAGCAGCCGCGGUAAUACGUAGGGUGCAAGCGUUAAUCGGAAUUACUGGGCGUAAAGCGUGCGCAGGCGGUUAUGCAAGACAGAGGUGAAAUCCCCGGGCUCAACCUGGGAACUGCCUUUGUGACUGCAUGGCUAGAGUACGGUAGAGGGGGAUGGAAUUCCGCGUGUAGCAGUGAAAUGCGUAGAUAUGCGGAGGAACACCGAUGGCGAAGGCAAUCCCCUGGACCUGUACUGACGCUCAUGCACGAAAGCGUGGGGAGCAAACAGGAUUAGAUACCCUUGUAGUCC
rnacentral:rRNA from 1 species